GACGUAGGGGGCCAGCGUUGUUCGGAAUUACUGGGUGUAAAGGGUUCGUAGGCGGUGCGGCAAGUCGGGAGUGAAAUCUCUGGGCUUAACCCAGAGGCUGCUUCCGAAACUGCUGUGCUUGAGUGUGGGAGAGGCGCGUGGAAUUGCAGGUGUAGCGGUGAAAUGCGUAGAUAUCGGGAGGAACACCAGUGGCGAAGGCGACUACCUGGCCUGUUCUUGACGCUGAGGCGCGAAAGCUAGGGGAGCAAACGGG
rnacentral:rRNA from 1 species